rnacentral:rRNA from 1 species
CCUACGGGAGGCUGCAGUGGGGGAUAUUGCACAAUGGGGGGAACCCUGAUGCAGCGACGCCGCGUGGGUGAAGGAGCGUUUCGGCGCGUAAAGCCCUAUCGGCAGGGAAGAAGAUGACGGUACCUGACCAUGAAGCUCCGGCUAACUACGUGCCAGCAGCCGUGGUAAUACGAAGGGGGCACGCGUGAUCCGGAUUUACUGGGUGUAAAGGGGGCGCAGACGGCAAUGCAAGCCAGGAGGGAAAGCCCGGGGACCAACCCCGGGACGGCGCUUGAAACUGCAUGGCUGGAGUACAGGAGGGGCAGGCGGAAUUCGUGGUGUAGCGGUGAAAUGCGUAGAUAUUAGGAGGAACACCGGUGGCGAAGGCGGCCUGCUGGACUGUGACUGACGUUGAGGCCCGAAGGCGUGGGGAGCGAACAGGAUUAGAUACCCCAGUAGUC